CUUUUUGGGACACACCCACUGAAUGACAGUCCUCCUCUCACUAUGACUCUGACUAUGAGAGAGAGAGAGAGACCAGUGAGAGAGACCAGAGAGAAAGAGAGCGAGAGACCAGAGAGAAAGAGACCAGAGAGAGAGAGACCAGAGAGAAAGAGAGCGAGAGACCAGAGAGAGAGAGAGAGAGAGACCAGAGAGAAAGAGAGACCAGAGAGAGAGAGAGAGAGACCAGAGAGAAAGAGAGAGAGAGAGAGACCAGAGAGAGAGAGACCAGAGAGAAAGAGAGCGAGAGACCAGAGAGAGAGAGACCAGAGAGCGAGAGACCAGUAAGCGAGAGACCAGAGAGAGAGAGCGAGAGAGCGAGCAGGAAACAGAAGAGCAGAGGAGCUGCACUGAUAAACAAGAGAAAAGAAUAGUUGGAUGAGGAUGGAAAGACCUACAUAGAACACUAUCAGAGAUCAGUGUGUAUGGACAGCAGGACACAGGAAAUGCCUCACUGGAGCCAUUGCAUCACUUCCUGGUGUCGAUCAGUUUUGUGGCGAUAAGGGCAGUAUCCUAAAUGGCAUCCUAUUCUCUAUAUAGUGAACUCAUUUUGACCAGGGCCCAAAGGUAGUGCACUAUGGAGGGAAUAGGGUGCCAUUUGGGAUGUUGCCAAAGAUAAUGUAUAUUUAUGGACGGUGAAGGAUGGGAAAGCUAAUAUUGUCAUCUGGAAUACAAUGACAUGACCACUGGGAGUAGAGGACAUACAGGCUGGGGAGAGAGAGAUAAGAGGUAUGAGAGAGAGAGAGGUGAGGUAUGAGAGAGAGAGAGGUGAGGUGACAGAGAGAGUGAGAGAAGAGAGAGAGACCAGAGAGAGAGACCAGAGAGAGAGAGCGAGAGACCGAGAGACCAGAGAGAGCGAGAUACCAGAGAGAGAGCGAGAGACCAGAGAGAGAGCGAGAGACCAGAGAGAGAGCGAGAGACCAGAGAGAGAGAGAGACCAAAGAGAGAGAGACCAGAGAGAGAGA
rnacentral:lncRNA from 1 species